rnacentral:tRNA from 1 species
AAGGGUAGAGCUCAGUGGUAGAGUACAUGCUUAGCAUGCACGAGGUCCUGGGUUCGAGCCUCAGUACCUCUG